rnacentral:tRNA from 1 species
GGUGCUGUACUUUAGUAUAAAAGGUCUGAUUUGCAUUUAGAGAACGAAGUAAUGUAUUUCCGGUGCCA